rnacentral:rRNA from 1 species
GAUGAACGCUGGCGGUAUGCCUAACACAUGCAAGUCGUACGAGAGUUUUUAACUCAAGUGGCGGACGGGUGAGUAACACGUGAGAAUUUGCCUUUAGGAGGGGGACAACAACUGGAAACGGUUGCUAAUACCCCAUAUGCUUUCGAGUGAAAUGAAUUUAUUCGCCUAAAGAGAAGCUCGCGGCUGAUUAGCUUGUUGGUGGGGUAAGAGCCUACCAAGGCGACGAUCAGUAUCUGGUUUGAGAGGACGAUCAGACACACUGGAACUGAGACACGGUCCAGACUCCUACGGGAGGCAGCAGUGGGGAAUUUUCCGCAAUGGGCGAAAGCCUGACGGAGCAAUACCGCGUGAAGGAAGACGGCCUAUGGGUUGUAAACUUCUUUUUCAGGGA